AUGAUGAUGAGUUGAAGGAAUCCUAUAGUCACUAUUCUUGUUUUGCCUCUGAUUUGUCACUAUUCCUGUUGUCAAUUGUAUUGGGGGGAGGGGUGACUUAGUGGUUCUAUGGUUCUGUUAUAGAGGCUCAAUUGCUAGUAUCUGCAGCUAUUCCAUGGGAUAAUGUUGUAUAUUUAGUCAUCAUUAUAAAUUUAUUUAUCCAAUCUUAAGAUUGCAUCUUUCCUACAGGUUGCUGAUGAAGCCCAUGGAAUGUUGAGGUCCAUGCUUGAUCAAUUCACUCAUAAAUUCUCUAGUUCACCAAGGUCACUAUCUACAAUUCCACAUAAGCGCUUCAGGCAAGGAAUUUCACUGUCAUUUCACCAACUUCCAUCUUGAAGAUAUUCCAGAAAUGAAACUCCUGUCCCAUGACUAAGCUACACCUUUGGUCAUUUCCCAGCCUAUCCACUGCCUAGGAAGCUUAGGCAGAGGCAUAGUGAACUGACUAAUCGGGGAUGCCAAAAGAGCUGAAUCUUGCCCAUUCUUGACCAACGUAGGUGGAAUAUAUAUAAUUAGGAACCAUGUAUAUACAUCUCACGCGAGUGUUGUUUUAGUUUGCAGCCAUCAUGUUUGGGAUCAGUUUCUACUUGAACCAGGGUAACAACGUCUUUGUUUUACUAUGCUGUCUGUUUACCAAAAAAAAAAAAGAGUUACGGCAGGGGACCCUU